rnacentral:misc_RNA from 1 species
UCAGUCUCAAGCUUGGCUUGUUGUUGGGCCUUUUGUCACCUGGUGACAGGUCCCAAAGACAAUAACCGGUGUCAUUCAGACUCUAUAUGCAACGAGCUUAUCACAGCACGCAUCUGGUAGUCAUGUGGCCUGGUUUUCACUUUGAUCAAUAUAUUUCUCAA